AUUGAACGCUGGCGGCAUGCUUUACACAUGCAAGUCGAACGGUAACAGGCCUUCGGGUGCUGACGAGUGGCGAACGGGUGAGUAAUGCAUCGGAACGUACCCAGAGGUGGGGGAUAACGCAGCGAAAGCUGUGCUAAUACCGCAUGUGAUCUGAGGAUGAAAGCGGGGGACCGAGCAGGAAUGUUUGGCCUCGCGCCUUUGGAGCGGCCGAUGUCGGAUUAGCUAGUUGGUGGGGUAAAGGCCUACCAAGGCGACGAUCCGUAGCUGGUCUGAGAGGACGACCAGCCACACUGGGACUGAGACACGGCCCAGACUCCUACGGGAGGCAGCAGUGGGGAAUUUUGGACAAUGGGCGCAAGCCUGAUCCAGCAAUGCCGCGUGCGGGAAGAAGGCCUUCGGGUUGUAAACCGCUUUUGGCAGGAACGAAACGGUGUCCGCUAAUACCGGGCGCUAAUGACGGUACCUGCAGAAUAAGCACCGGCUAACUACGUG
rnacentral:rRNA from 1 species